rnacentral:rRNA from 1 species
AGAGCACAAGGGGAAUGCCUUGGCACCGAGAGCCGAAGAAGGACGUGACUAACUGCGAUAAGCUACGGGGAGCUGUAAGUGAGCGUUAUAUCCGUAGAUUUCCGAAUGGAGCAAUCCGAUUAGAGGAAAGUCUAAUCAUCAUAUACUGAAUACAUAGGUAUAUGAGGGGAACCGCCUGAACUGAAACAUCUAAGUAGGGCGAGGAAGAGAAAUCAACUGAGAUUCCGUAAGUAGUGGCGAGCGAACGCGGAAGAGGCCAAACCUAAUGUAGUAAUAUGUUAGGGGUUCGGACAGUAAAAUGAAUUGUCAAGAUUUAGCCGAAUGUCAUGGGAAGGGCAAUCAAAGAAGGUGAAAAUCCUGUAGGCGAAAAGUUAAGACAUCAGACUGUAUCCAGAGUACCGCCGGACACGUGAAACCCGGUGGGAAUACGGGGGGACCAUCCUCCAAGCCUAAAUACUACUCGGUGACCGAUAGAGAAGAAGUACUGUGAAGGAAAGGUGAAAAGCACCCCGGGAGGGGAGUGAAAGAGAACCUGAAACCUUGUGUUUACAAGCACCGAAAGUUCAUCAACGAACGAUCGGGUACCUUUUGUAGAAUGGUCCGGCGAGUGAAUGUAACUGGCAAGGUUAAGCACUUAAGGUGUGAAGCCGUAGCGAGAGCGAGUCUGAAAAGGGCGCAUGAAGUCAGUUGUAUUCGACCCGAAACCGGGUGACCUACCCAUGUCCAGGCUGAAGUGCAGGUAAAACUUCAUGGAGGGCCGAACCGACUCCCGUUGAAAUGGUAGCGGAUGAGGUGUGGGUAGCGGAGAAAUUCCAAUCGAACCCGGAGAUAGCUGGUUCUCUCCGAAAUAGCUUUAGGGCUAGCCUUGGAAUAGAUUACUGGAGGUAAAGCACUGAAUUGGCUAGGGGCCGAGAGGUUACUGAACCUUAUCAAACUAAGAAUGCCAGAUAAUCGUUUUCCAGGAGUCAGACAGUGGGAGAUAAGUUUCAUUGUCAAAAGGGAAACAGCCCAGACCUACAGCUAAGGUCCCAAAGUAUAGUUAAGUGGAAAAGGAUGUGGAAUUGCAUAGACAACCAGGAUGUUGGCUUAGAAGCAGCCACUCAUUAAAAGAGUGCGUAAUAGCUCACUGGUCGAGUGAUUCUGCGCCGAAAAUUUAACGGGGCUAAACUAUACACCGAAGCUUAGGAUACCGCAAGGUAUGGUAGGAGAGCGUUCUGUACGGAGUGAAGUCGUAGCGAAAGCGGCGGUGGACUGUACAGAAGUGAGAAUGCCGGAAUAAGUAGCGAGAAUUAAGUGAGAAUCUUAAUGGCCGAAAGUCUAAGGUUUUUGGAGGAAGGUUCGUCCGCUCCAAGUAAGUCGGGAGCUAAGGUCAGGCCGAAAGGCGUAGCCGAUGCACAAACGGUUGAUAUUCCGUUACCGUCUACAAUUUAAACAAAGGGACACAUACAAAGCGUUUAACCCGGGCGAUGGUUGACCCGGGCGCAAGGGACUGAAAUAAGAGUAGGGAAGUAAAUGUAGCGUAUGGCGAGAAAAGCUUUGUGUAUAGAAGUAGACGCCCGUACCGCAAACCGACACAGGUGGACAGGAAGAGAAUUCUAAGGCCAGCGGGAGAAGGGUAGUUAAGGAACUCGGCAAAUUGACUCCGUAACUUCGGAAUAAGGAGUGCUCGAAAGAGCCGCAGAGAAUAGGCCCAGGCGACUGUUUAGCAAAAACACAGGUCUCUGCCAAAUCGAAAGAUGAAGUAUAGGGGCUGACACCUGCCCGGUGCCGGAAGGUUAAGAGGAGGAGUGCAAGCUCCGAAUUGAAGCCCCGGUAAACGGCGGCCGUAACUAUAACGGUCCUAAGGUAGCGAAAUUCCUUGUCGGGUAAGUUCCGACCCGCACGAAUGGUGUAACGAUCUGGGCACUGUCUCAACUACCCACCCGGCGAAAUUGUAGUACCGGUGAAGAUGCCGGUUACCUGCGGCAAGACGGAAAGACCCCAUGGAGCUUUACUGUAGCCUGAUAUUGGGUUUCGGAAAUCUAUGUACAGGAUAGGCGGGAGACUGGGAAGUAUGAGCGUCAGCUUAUACGGAGUCGUUGUUGGGAUACCGCCCUUAGGCUGGCUCUUAUACAAAUCUGACGGCGCCGACGAAAAGAGAGGGGGACGAUAGCGGGGGGUGGAG